rnacentral:rRNA from 1 species
UACAGAGGUGGCAAGCGUUGUCCGGAAUUAUUGGGCGUAAAGAGCUCGUAGGCGGUCUGUCGCGUCGGUCGUGAAAACUUGGGGCUUAACCCUGAGCUUGCGGUCGAUACGGGCAUGACUGGAGUUCGGUAGGGGAGACUGGAAUUCCUGGUGUAGCGGUGAAAUGCGCAGAUAUCAGGAGGAACACCGGUGGCGAAGGCGGGUCUCUGGGCCGAUACUGACGCUGAGGAGCGAAAGCGUGGGGAGCGAACAGG